rnacentral:rRNA from 1 species
AGCGAACGCUGGCGGCAGGCCUAACACAUGCAAGUCGAACGAAGUCUUCGGACUUAGUGGCGGACGGGUGAGUAACACGUGGGAACGUGCCUUUAGGUUCGGAAUAACUCAGGGAAACUUGUGCUAAUACCGAAUGUGCCCUUCGGGGGAAGUAUUUAUCGCCUUUAGAGCGGCCCGCGUCUGAUUAGCUAGUUGGUGAGGUAAAGGCUCACCAAGGCGACGAUCAGUAGCUGGUCUGAGAGGAUGAUACGCAACAUUGGGACUGAGACACGGCCCAAACUCCUACGGGAGGCAGCAGUGGGGAAUCUUGCGCAAUGGGCGAAAGCCUGACGCAGCCAUGCCGCGUGAAUGAUGAAGGUCUUAGGAUUGUAAAAUUCUUUCACCGGGGACGAUAAUGACGGUACCCGGAGAAGAAGCCCCGGCUAACUUCGUGCCAGCCGCCGCUGUAACAC